UCCCAGAGCCCCGUCUGUCUUUCCCCUCACCUCCUGCCCUGGAGAAGCUACCACAUCCCAGGUCACCUUCGGCUGCCUGGUCAAAGGCUAUUUCCCCGAGCCAGUCACCGUGCAGUGGACCCCCAACACCUCGGGUGUGAAGGACUACCCCUCCGUGCUGCAAACUUCCAGUGGCCUCUACUCGCUGAGCAGUCAGGUCACCGUCUCGGACAGCAGCUGGGAAGACAACACCUAUCACUGCACCAUUAAGCACGAGCCCACCAGCUCAAGCAUCACCAAGGAAAUCCCAAAAUCCUCCACUCCCCAGCCUCCCACUGUGCAAGUCUACCACUCCUCCUGCAAACUCACCCCCGGCACCAUCGACCUCCUCUGCCAUGUCUCCGGCUUCUACCCCACACCCGUGACGGUGGAAUGGCUGGUGGACGGCCCCUGCCACGAGGGACGCUGGUGGCCGCACCUUCAGCACCCACAGCAACGCCAGCGUCUCCCAGGAAGACUUUAUGCAAGACAAGAUGUACACCUGCAGAGUGUCCCACCCAGGCACCGGGACCACGGAAGAGGACUAUGCCCGCAAGUGCAAAGAUGUACCUACAACCACCAGUAACAUCCUCGUCUUCACGGUGCCGCCAUCCCCUGAGGAACUGUACGUGGGCCAGAGCCCCAAGGUCACCUGCCUGGUCGUCAACCUGCCUAACGAUGCUGACCUAAGAGUGGUCUGGUCCCGGGAGAAGACAGGGCCCCUUAGCCCGGAACCCCUCACUUUGACUGAGCAGCACAACCGCACCUUCACGGCCUCCAGCUCUCUGCCCAUAUUCACCCGUGACUGGGAGGAUGGAGAGAAAUACAGCUGCAAAGUGGAGCACUCGGAGCUUCCCACACCGAUCAUCAAAUCCAUCUCCAAGAAGCAAGGCAAGAUGUCUCCUCCAAGUGUCUAUCUCCUGCGCCCCCACCCUGAUGAGUUGAGCAGCAACGGAGACUCCGUCAGCCUCACCUGCCUGGUGCGGGGCUACUAUCCUGCGGAAAUCUCAGUGAAGUGGAUGGAGAACCACGAAUCCCAAACCAGCAUGAAACCUGUUACCACCUCAUCCAUGAAGGAAGGAGAUGGCGACUCGACCUACUUCCUCUAUAGCAAGUUACCAGUUGACAAGACCAGCUGGAACAAUGGGGUCACCUACACCUGCAUGGUCAUCCAUGAAGCCCUGAAGCCACUGAAGUUCACCCAACGCAACAUCCGCAGUGUCCCUGAGGUGAUAAUGAAUGACGAGUUUUGCACCGAGGAAGGCGAUGAGAAGAUAGAUGGUCUCUGGAGCACCAUCGCGGUCUUCAUCACCCUUUUCCUCUUGAGUGUGUGCUACAGCGCCACGGUGACCCUGUUCAAGGUGAAGUGGCUUUUCUCCAGCGUGGUGCAGCUGAAGCGGGGAAGGGGCCCUGAGUACAAGAACGUGAUCCAGCGUGUGGUGUAG